rnacentral:rRNA from 1 species
UACGUAGGGACCGAGCGUUGUCCGGAAUCAUUGGGCGUAAAGAGCGUGUAGGCGGCUUGCUAAGUCUUGCGUGAAAUCUCGGGGCUCAACCCCGAGCGGUCGUGGGAAACUGGCAGGCUAGAGUGCGGGAGAGGAGAAUGGAAUUCCUGGUGUAGCGGUGAAAUGCGUAGAUAUCGGAAGGAACACCAGUGGCGAAGGCGGCUUCCUGGACUAAUACUGACGCUGAGGUGCGAAAGCGUGGGGAGCAAACAGG